GGUGAUGGAGGUGGCUCUAUGCAAGGAGGGGGUGGGGGUGGGGGUUCUAUACAAGGUACCGGGGAUGGAGGUGGAGGCAAAUGAGGCGGUGGAGGGGAGGAGUAUACUGGUGGAGGAGGUGAAUUUGGUGGUGGAGGUGAUGAGUAUAUGUAUACAGGUGGUGGAGGUGGUGAAUUUGGUGGUGGAGGAGGCGGAGGUGGUGGUGAAUUGUAGUAGUAAGGUGAAGGGGGUGGAGGUGAGUGAGCAAGCGGUGGUGGCGGAGGAGGUGGUGAAUUUGGUGGUGGAGGUGGUGGUGAGCGUACACAAUAAGGUAAUGGUGAUGGAGGAGGAGGUGAUGGUGGUGGUGGUGGUGGUGGUGGCGAGUAAACAGGUGGUGGAGGAGGUGGUGGUGAUGGUGGAGUAGGAGAGGGUGGUGGUGGCGAAUAAACAGGUGGGGGGGGUGGAGGAGGUGGAGGUGGCGGAGAGGGAGGUGGCGGAGAGGGAGGUGAAUAAACGGGAGGUGGAGGUGACGGAGGAGGCGGAGGAGGUGAAUAAACGGGAGGUGGAGGCGGAGGAGGCGAUGGAGGAGGUGGUGGUGGUGGUGAAGGUGAAGGAGGAUUAUAAACUGGUGGUGGCGGAGGCGAAUAGACGGGCGAUGGAGGGGGAGAAAUGGGCACGACGACAACAGGAGGCGGAGGCGGAGGCGGAGGCGGAG
rnacentral:lncRNA from 1 species